AAUACAAAGAAUAAAGGAAAAUCAAAACUGUGGCCGUAGGAAGGCGGACGCUUGAUCCUUCCACACAUAUGUGUGCCCUCCAGUUACUACAAAGGCAGUUUUCCAAACGGGUGGUCACCAGCCUUCUUUCUUUCACAAGGUGAUUUUCUGGCGGUUUCAUAAGUUUGAGGUGGCUCCUUUGCACAUCAUUUCAGCUGAAAUCUACUCCCUGGAUCAGGAGACCCAAAGAAGAGAAACGCUGUGGAAGCAGCAGUUCUUGCAGACGAGUGGACUUGAAGGAGAGGAAACUGAGAUGGGAGAGUCUCUCCACCAAACAGGAAGAAAGAGAAAUGCAAUCUACUACCACUACAUAAAAUGGUUUGUUUUUAAAUAUU